rnacentral:lncRNA from 1 species
AUCAGAGAUACACAGGCAGUGAAUGUCAGCACUGAGCUCCAUGCUCUUCUCAUUUCAAGGCUGCAUAGUUGCUCUUGAAUUCACUCCAUUCUUCCUGCCACCUUUGAGAAGUCCCACUGCUGUCUUUUGGGUAAUAUCUUGGUUCCAGUAUCUGUCUACAGGACCCAUUUCAUGUGGAAGGAUGCAGUGUCUAGAUGAGCAGCAAUGACCUUUGCCCUCCAAACCAUCUUGCCAACCCUCCACUAGAAGUUUCUGCAGUGAAGAAUAAUACAGUGGCCUCUGAGUGCCUGCCACAACAUGUGAGACUGAGGGCAUAGACUUUUUUAUCUUCAUUGUUUUGGCUUAAUAUGAAAGAGGGUCGUAGUCUACCACCUUGUACUUACAAAAGAAUCUGCCCUCCCCCCCAGAUUAAAGGCACAUACUAUUACUGUCA